AUGAAGCUCCCCUUGGUGGCUACGGUGCUGCUGCUGAGUGUAGCCUGCCCGAGGGGGAGGACAAGUAGGAGGACAUGGGCACAGUGGUGGUCAUCGACCUGGGGACCACCCACUCCUGCACUGGGGUGUUCAAGAAUGGCUGUGUAUAGAUCAUUGCCAACGACCAGGGCAACCGCAUCACCCACCCUCGUAUGUUGCCUUCACCCCCAAAGGGGAGCGGCUCAUCAGGAUACCACCAAGAACCAGCUUAUGUCCAACCCUGAGAACACGGGUUCGAUGCCAAGUGGCUUACCGGUCUCACAAGGAACGGCCUGUUGGUGCAGCAGGACAUCAAGUUCUUGCUUUUCAAGGUGGUUGAAAAGAAAGCAAAGUCAUACAUUCAAGUGGAUAUUGGGAGUGGGCAAACAAAAGCAUUUGCUGAAGAAAUUUCUGCCAUGUUUCUCACUAAAAUGAAAGAAAGUGCUGAGGCUUACCUGGGAAAAAAGUUUACCCAUGCAGUGGUCACAGUUCCCGCUUACUUCAAUAAUGCCCAGCGUCAGGUAACCAAGAUGCUGGGACCAUUACUGUACUGAAUGUCAUGUAGAUCACCCAUGAGCCUACCGCAGUGACUGUUGCUUAUGGUCUAGAUAAGGGCGAGGGAGAGAACAUCCUGGUGUCCAACCUGGGCGGGGCCCCUUUGCUACGUCUCUCUUCACCAUUAACAACGGGGUCUUCAAAGUCAUGGCCACUAAUGGAGACACUCGCCUGGGUGGAGAAGACUUUGACCAGCGUUUCAUGGAGCAUUUCAUCAAGCUGUACAAAAAGAAAACUGGCAAAGAUGUCAGGAAAGACAACAGGGCCGUGCAGAAACUCCAGUGGGAGGUGGAGAAGGUCAAAUGGGCCCUGUCUUCACAACAUCAAAUGAGAAUUGAAAUUGAGUCCUUUUAUGAGGGAGAGGACUUCUCAGAGACCCUCACGUGGGCCAGAUUUGGAGGGCUGAACAUGGGUGGACCUGUUCCAAUUUAUCAUGAAACUUAUCCAGAAAAUGUUGGAGGACUCUGAUUUGAAGAAAUCUGACAUUGAUGAAAUUGUGCUUGUUGGUGGUUGUACUCAAAUUCCAAAGAUCCAGCAGUUGGUUAGAAUUCUUCAAUGGCAAGGAGUCAUGGUGCAGCAUCAGCUUCACCGAGGCCAUGGUGUACGGUGCUGCUGUGCAGGCUGGGAUGCUCUCUGGUGAUCAAGACACAGGGCAUCUGGUGCUGCUUGACGUGUGUCCUCUUACCCUUGGCACUGAGAAUAUGGGAGAUGUGAUGACCAAACUGAUUCCAAGGAAUACUGUAGUGUCCACCAAGAAGUCUCAGAUCUUUUCUACGGCUUCCGACAAUCAGCCAACUGUCACAAUCAAGGUCUAUGAAGGUGAAUGACUGCUGGCCAAAGACAAUCACCUCCUGGGCACGUUUGAUCUGACUGGAAUUCCUCCUGCUCCCCGUGGGGUGCCACGGAUUGAAGUUACCUUUGAGAUAGACGUGAACAGUGUUCCACGUGUGACAGCUGAAGACGAAAGUAGAGGGAACAAUUACCAAUGACCAGAAUGGCCUGACCCCCGAGGAGAUCGGAAGGAUGGUCAAUGAUGCCGAGAAGUUUGCUGAGGGAGACAAAAAGCUCAAGGAGUGCAUUGACACCAGAAACGAGCUGGAAAGCUACGCCUACUCGCUGAAGAACCAGAUCGGAGACAAAGAAAAGCUGGGUGGCAAACUUUCCCCUGAAGAAAAGGAGACCCUGGAAAAGCCGUGGAGAGAAGACUGAACGGCUGGAAAGCCACCAAGAUGCUGACAUUGAAGGCUUCCAAGCUGAAAAGAAGGAACUAGAAGAAAUUGUUCAGCCAAUUAUCAGCAAACUCUAUGGAAGCGCAGGCCCUCCUCCAACUGGUGACGAGGAUACAGCAGAAAAGGAUGAAUUGUAGAUGCUGAUCUGCUAACGCUGUGCAUUGUAAAUACUGGACUCAGGAACUUUUGUUAGGAGAAAAUUGAGA